CCGCGNNUAGCUCNUUACANUAGCCGUUGUUUCUUGGAUCCUCAAUUUACUUGGAUACCUGUGGUAAUUCUAGAGCUAAUACAUGCGACUAAGGGCCGAACUCACGUGACGCUUGCAUUUAUUAGAUCAAGACUAACCGGCUUCGGCCGUUAACUUGGUGACUCUGAAUAACUCAGCUGAUCGCACGGUCUAGUGCCGGCGACAUAUCUUUCAAGUGUCUACCUUAUCAACUGUCGAUGGUAGUUUAUGUGACUACCAUGGUUGUAACGGGUAACGGAGAAUCAGGGUUUGACUCCGGAGAGGGAGCCUGAGAAACGGCUACCACUUCUAAGGAAGGCAGCAGGCGCGCAAAUUACACAAUCUCAGCACGAGGAUGUAGUGACGAAACAUACCGAGGCGAUGCCCUUUCGGGUGUCGUCAUUGGAAUGAGUCGAAUCUAAAAAAUUCGGCAAGGAUCUAGUGGAGGGCAAGUCUGGUGCCAGCAGCCGCGGUAAUUCCAGCUCCGCAAGUGUAUAUCUAUGCUGUUGCGGUUAAAAAGCUCGUAGUUUGAUUCGCGUACUUAGCACGCAGUGUGGCCUUUCGGCUACUACUGUGAUGCGGUACAUUAUCGUCAGUUUGUCGUUGAUGCUCUUCAUUGGGUGUCAGCGGCGGCUGUCAAGUUUACUUUGAACAAAUUAAAGUGCUCAAUACAGGCGUUUCGCUUGUAUAGUUCUGCAUGGAAUAAUAGAAUAGGACUUACGUUCUAUUGUGUUGGUUUUCAGAACGAAAGUAAUGAUUAAGAGGGACAGACGGGGUCAUUCGUACUGCCACGUUAGAGGUGAAAUUCUUGGAUCGUGGCAAGACGAACUACUGCGAAAGCAUUUGACAAGAAUGUUUUCAUUAAUCAAGAACGAAAGUUAUGGGUU
rnacentral:rRNA from 1 species